UACCCAUGAUGUGGACACUUCAAGAGUAAGCCAUUGAAUCGCUCCCAUGUUUUGAAAAACUGCUCAUCUUUUCUCUGUGUAAACUCUGCAAUUUCCUUGCGAAU
rfam:Citrus clementina cultivar Clemenules unplaced genomic scaffold scaffold_7, whole genome shotgun sequence.